CAUGCCACCCUGAACAAGCCCGAUCUUGUCCAAUCUCGAAGCUAAGCAGGGUCGGGCCUGGUUAGUACUUGGAUGGGAGACCACCUAGCAAAACCAGGU
rnacentral:rRNA from 1 species